UACGUAGGGACCAAGCGUUGUUCGGAUUUACUGGGCGUAAAGGGCGCGUAGGCGGCGUGUCAAGUCAAUUGUGAAAUCUCCGGGCUUAACUCGGAACGGUCAAGUGAUACUGUCGUGCUAGAGUACAGAAGGGGCAACUGGAAUUCUCGGUGUAGCGGUGAAAUGCGUAGAUAUCUGGAGGAAUACCGGUGGCGAAGGCGGCAUCCUGGGACCGGCAUUGACGCUGAGGAG
rnacentral:rRNA from 1 species